rnacentral:lncRNA from 1 species
UUACUAUAACAUAACAUAACUUUCCAAUAUGCCAGGGACGUAGAAUGGGUACAACCUGGUCUUUCUCUUACUCUGGCCGGGACGUAGAAUGGGUACAACCGGCAACCACACCAUAACAUGCCUCAUCAUAACAUAUCGAGGACUAAAAGAUCAUUCAAUGCCCAUCCACAACAUCAUCAAGUAUGCAAUGCAACAUAUUCGUGGAAUCUAAUGCAAACAACCUAAAAUAUCA